ensembl:snRNA U6 U6 spliceosomal RNA
UCGCUUUGGCAGCAUAUAUACUAAAAUUGGAACAAUCCAGAGGAUACUGGCAUGGCCCCUGAGCAAGGAUGACACACAAAUCUGUGAAGUAAGAACAUGACAU